rnacentral:tRNA from 1 species
UAGAAAGUAGUAUAGUGGAAGUACGGGGGGUUUUGAGCCCCCUGGCGCAGGUUCAGAUCCUGUUUUUCUA